UACGGGGGGGGCAAGCGUUGUUCGGAAUUACUGGGCGUAAAGGGCUCGUAGGCGGCCAACUAAGUCCGAUGUGAAAUCCCCAGGCUUAACCUGGGAACUGCGUCGGAUACUGGAUGGCUUGAAUCCGGGAGAGGGAUGCGGAAUUCCAGGUGUAGCGGUGAAAUGCGUAGAUAUCUGGAGGAACACCGGUGGCGAAGGCGGCAUCCUGGACCGGCAUUGACGCUGAGGAGCGAAAGCCAGGGGAGCAAACGGG
rnacentral:rRNA from 1 species